GUCUAUGGCCAUGCCACCCUGAACAAGCCCGAUGUCUGAUCUCGGAAGCUAAGUAGUGUCGGGCUUGGUUAGUACUUGGGUGGGAGACCACCUAAGAAGACCAGGUGCUGUAGACA
rnacentral:rRNA from 1 species